UUAUGUGAUCGUCUCUCGCAUAUCAAUAAGCGGAGGAAAAGAAACUAACAAGGAUUCCCCUAGUAACGGCGAGUGAAGCGGGAAGAGCUCAAAUUUGAAAUCUUAAAGGGUUUCCCUUUACGAAUUGUAGUUUAAAGAAGUGUUUUCUGUUGAGGUUUUGGUAAAAGUUCUUUGGAAUAGGACAUUAUAGAGGGUGAGAAUCCCGUAUUUGACCUUUACUUUCAACUUUGUGAUACACUUUCAAAGAGUCGGAUUGUUUGGGAAUGCAGUCCAAAAUGGGUGGUAAAUUUCAUCUAAAGCUAAAUAUUGGCGAGAGACCGAUAGCGAACAAGUACCGUGAGGGAAAGAUGAAAAGAACUUUGAAAAGAGAGUUAAACAGUACGUGAAAUUGUCAAAAGGGAAGCGUUUGACACCAGUGUUGUUUUUCUGAAAAUCAAUUAAAGAACUGUUUAUGCUAAGCUUGUUUAGACUUUAUCAGCUAACUGUUUAGUUUUGAGCUUUUCUUUAAUGCACUUUUCAGUUAACAAGUCAACAUCAAUUUCUCUUUGCUGUAAAAAAGCUUGAGGAAGGUGGCUUGAGAUUCGUCUUAAGUGUUUAUAGCCUCUUGCCUAAUGCAGUCGGAGAGAUUAAGGUCUGCAGCGUAGAUCCUUCGGGGCUAAAUGCAUUUGUGCUAAGUUAUAGCAUUUUAUAGACAACUUGUUGACUAUGAUUUGUCUUGUAGCUUACUCGCUUAUGUUAUUUUACCUACGCUUAGGAUGUUGAACGCGCACAGAGUCUC
rnacentral:rRNA from 1 species